rnacentral:tRNA from 1 species
GGCAGUUUAUCUUAAUGGUAGAGUAAUCAGCUGGUAUCUAAGGGGUGUGAGUUCAUCUCUCACGGCUGUCU